GGCCACAGCUCAGGGGUAGAGCAUCUGCUCUGCAUACAGAAGAUCCCAGGUUCAAUCCCCAGUACCUCUAGGUAGAGCCA